rnacentral:lncRNA from 1 species
GUCGGGCGAGGAUUUAUGGUUUGUUAAAAAGUAUUAAAGCAUAUGUUAUGUUGCAUCAAUACAAAUAAACACAUACUAUGUUUCAAAAUCUGAAUUCUCUAAAUUUGAAAACACAAUCAAAGCAUCAAUUGCAGCUUUAUAAUAGACAAUUGAAGAUCAGAAUCUGAAGGCCAUACAAGACAAACAGAAUGAGCAAGAUGAUUCUGAAAACCAUCAAGAAGUUGCUGAAGAAAAAAAUGAAAUGAUCAACCAGAUCAAGGAAUAACUCAGGAAAGCCCACCAGCAACCGCAUAAACAACUUGUUGAAACCAACACUUCUAAGAGCCAUGAUUCAAAACAAAUUAAUGAAAUCCUCAAGCCUCUUGAGAAGAUAGCAAGAGAGAAAGAAAAACACAACUAUACAACACAAGUUGACAGGAAAACUUGGAAUGAAAUGCUACAAAAAGUCACAACAGUUGAAGGGACCUCUGGCUCAAAGAAUGAAUCACAAAAAAUUGGGUCAUGUGGGAUGGUACGAAGGUUGGUGAUACAUAUGUGCAUAAUUUGAAAUAUCAUACAUAUUGGUAAUGUAUUACGGAUGGUAGUAUAUACGGAAGAGGAAUUGUAUAAUAUUGGUAAUGUAUUACG